GUCCCUGCUUCAAACAUUUCCAGUGCCUAUUCUAAUGUUCCCUGAAGUUUCAAUAUUCUACAUCUUGUUACAAUUACCAUUGCCAGUCCCUGUUCUAAUGUUCCCUGAAGUUACAAUGUUCUACUCCCUGCUGUACUGUUAAAAGGAAGUACCAUCAUUAAAGAUGACUGGUGCCACCUAGAUUUCACACCCAAGAUAAAAGGUAGCGCUAAAUUUAUUUUCU
rnacentral:lncRNA from 1 species